GAUGAACGCUGGCGGCGUGCUUAACACAUGCAAGUCGAACGGUGAACGAGGGAGCUUGCUCCCUCCGGAUCAGUGGCGAACGGGUGAGUAACACGUGAGCAAUCUGCCCUGGACUCUGGGAUAAGCGUUGGAAACGACGUCUAAUACCGGAUACGAGGCGUGGGGGCAUCCCCAACGCCUGGAAAGAACUUCGGUCCAGGAUGAGCUCGCGGCCUAUCAGGUAGUUGGUGAGGUAAAGGCUCACCAAGCCUACGACGGGUAGCUGGCCUGAGAGGGUGACCGGCCACACUGGGACUGAGACACGGCCCAGACUCCUACGGGAGGCAGCAGUGGGGAAUAUUGCACAAUGGGCGAAAGCCUGAUGCAGCAACGCCGCGUGAGGGACGACGGCCUUCGGGUUGUAAAGCUCUUUCACCGGAGAAGAUAAUGACGGUAUCCGGAGAAGAAGCCCCGGCUAACUUCGUGCCAGCCGCCGCAGUAAUAC
rnacentral:rRNA from 1 species